rnacentral:ncRNA from 1 species
CGUUCUCAGGGCGGGGUGAAAGUCCCCACCGGCGGUAAUGGCCUGGCCUAGCCCGCGAGCGCUCGCCUCGGCGAGGUCAGCAGACCCGGUGCGAUUCCGGGGCCGACGGUAUAGUCCGGAUGAAGAGAG